rnacentral:lncRNA from 10 species
GCCUCGGCCUCCCAAAGCGCUGGGAUUACUGGUGUGAGCCACUGUGCCUGGCCUCUACAAGGUACUUAAAUGUCACAGAGAUUACAUUGUUAGCGAAAGGAUCUUGACUCUAAAGGUGGAAGUUUAUUCUUCAUCCUGUGGAUAGGAGGAGUUUGGGUGUCAGGAUUUAAGGAGGGUGGAAGUUUAGUCUUCAUCCUGUGGCUAGGAGGAGUUCGGGUGUCAGGAUUCAAGGAGGGGUAACAAAGACAAACUCCCAUUCCUUCACAAUUUUGCUGGGAUCAGCUCCAUUUUCUUGGUUUGGAGGUGAGAUGGGGUGGGGAGAGAGAAUUCUGGGAAAGUAGACUCUGAUUUUGGCCAUGGGUAGAAUUCCUCCCAAGAGGAACCAGUACUCACGAUGGUAUGCUAGGCAGGAAAUGGUUCCAUAAAAUGGACAUUACUUACCACUCAGCACUGUGAGGAUCAAAUGAGAUAAUAUUUUACACUACUUACCAUACUAUUAGGCACAUAUGGCCUGAUAAGUGUUUACUAUUAUUUCACUGAUAUGUACCAACAAUGAUGAAAAUAAGCUUCCAAAGAAAUUUGCUCACAGACCAUUAGAAACAGUUGUACUUGUGCUGAAAUCCAUAAGUACUGCUCAUGAUAUAAAAGAGUGCAAUCUGUUCCCUUUUUAAAGAUCUAUCACUUUUAUUUUUUAUUUUUUUUUGGAGAUGGAGUCUUGCUCUGUCGCCCAGGCUGGAGUGCAGUGGUGCCAUCUUGGCUCACUGAAACCUCCCAGGUUCAGGUGAUUCUCCUGCCUCAGUCUCCCAAGUAGCUGGGAUUACAGGCUUGCACCACCAUGCCCAGCUGAUUUCUGUAUUUUUAGUAGAGA